rnacentral:rRNA from 1 species
GACGAACGCUGGCGGCACGCUUAACACAUGCAAGUCGAACGAGAGAAGAGAAGCUUGCUUUUCUGAUCUAGUGGCGGACGGGUGAGUAACACGUGAGCAAUCUGCCUUUCAGAGGGGGAUACCGAUUGGAAACGAUCGUUAAUACCGCAUAACAUAAUUGAACCGCAUGAUUUGAUUAUCAAAGAUUUAUCGCUGAAAGAUGAGCUCGCGUCUGAUUAGCUAGUUGGUAAGGUAACGGCUUACCAAGGCGACGAUCAGUAGCCGGACUGAGAGGUUGAUCGGCCACAUUGGGACUGAGACACGGCCCAGACUCCUACGGGAGGCAGCAGUGGGGAAUAUUGCACAAUGGAGGAAACUCUGAUGCAGCGAUGCCGCGUGAGGGAAGAAGGUUUUAGGAUUGUAAACCUCUGUCUUCAGGGACGAAAAAAGACGGUACCUGAGGAGGAAGCUCCGGCUAACUACAUG